rnacentral:rRNA from 1 species
GACAACCUGGUUGAUCCUGCCAGUAGUCAUAUGCUUGUCUCAAAGAUUAAGCCAUGCAUGUCUCAGUACAAGCCAAAAUAAGGUGAAACCGCGAAAGGCUCAUUAAAUCAGUUAUGGUUCCUUAGAUCGUACCAACAUUUACUUGGAUAACUGUGGUAAUUCUAGAGCUAAUACAUGCAAACAGAGCUUCGACCGGAGACGGAAGAGGCGCUUUUAUUAGAUCAAAACCAAUCGGCGGCGGGUUCGUUCGCGGGCUCGUCGUCGUUUUCACUGACGAAUCUGAAUAACUUUCUGCUGAUCGCACGGUCUCGCACCGGCGACGCAUCUUUCAAAUGUCUGCCUUAUCAACUGUCGAUGGUAGGUUCUGUGCCUACCAUGGUUGUAACGGGUAACGGGGAAUCAGGGUUCGAUUCCGGAGAGGGAGCCUGAGAAACGGCUACCACAUCCAAGGAAGGCAGCAGGCGCGCAAAUUACCCACUCCCGGCACGGGGAGGUAGUGACGAAAAAUAACGAUACGGGACUCAUCCGAGGCCCCGUAAUCGGAAUGAGAACAAUUUAAAUCCUUUAACGAGGAUCAAUUGGAGGGCAAGUCUGGUGCCAGCAGCCGCGGUAAUUCCAGCUCCAAUAGCGUAUAUUAAAGUUGUUGCGGUUAAAAAGCUCGUAGUCGAAUCUGUGUCCCGCGCCGCCGGUUCGUCGCUCGCGGCGUUUAACUGGCGUGUCCGCGGGACGUCCUGCCGGUGGGCUUAGCCUUUUCAUUAAGGCGGCCCAAUCUUAAUCCCGCCGCGGUGCUCUUCACCGAGUGUCGAGGCGGGCCGGCACGUUUACUUUGAACAAAUUAGAGUGCUUAAAGCAGGCUAAAACUUCGCCUGAAUACUUCGUGCAUGGAAUAAUGGAAUAGGACCUCGGUUCUAUUUUGUUGGUUUUCGGAACCCCGAGGUAAUGAUUAAUAGGAACGGAUGGGGGCAUUCGUAUUGCGACGUUAGAGGUGAAAUUCUUGGAUCGUCGCAAGACGGACAGAAGCGAAAGCAUUUGCCAAAAACGUUUUCAUUGAUCAAGAACGAAAGUUAGAGGUUCGAAGGCGAUCAGAUACCGCCCUAGUUCUAACCAUAAACNAUGCCAGCUAGCGAUCCGCCGACGUUCCUCCNAUGACUCGGCGGGCAGCUUCCGGGAAACCAAAGCUUUUGGGUUCCGGGGGAAGUAUGGUUGCAAAGCUGAAACUUAAAGGAAUUGACGGAAGGGCACCACCAGGAGUGGAGCCUGCGGCUUAAUUUGACUCAACACGGGAAACCUCACCAGGCCCGGACACCGGAAGGAUUGACAGAUUGAGAGCUCUUUCUUGAUUCGGUGGGUGGUGGUGCAUGGCCGUUCUUAGUUGGUGGAGCGAUUUGUCUGGUUAAUUCCGAUAACGAACGAGACUCA